rnacentral:tRNA from 1 species
GGGCCGGUAGCUCAGCCUGGUUAGAGCACCGGGCUUUUAACCCGGUGGUCCCGGGUUCGAAUCCCGGCCGGCCCGCCA